UACGUAGGGUGCGAGCGUUAAUCGGAAUUACUGGGCGUAAAGCGUGCGUAGGCGGUUUUGUAAGCCAGAUGUGAAAUCCCCGGGCUCAACCUGGGAAUGGCAUUUGGGACUGCAAGGCUCGAGUGCGGCAGAGGAGACUGGAAUUCCUGGUGUAGCAGUGAAAUGCGUAGAUAUCAGGAGGAAUACCGAUGGCGAAGGCAGGUCUCUGGGCUGACACUGACGCUGAGGAGCGAAAGCCAGGGGAGCAAACGGG
rnacentral:rRNA from 1 species